UUUUACAAUGGAGAGUUUGAUCCUGGCUCAGGAUGAACGCUAGCUACAGGCUUAACACAUGCAAGUCGAGGGGCAAUGACAUCGAUAGCUUGCUUUUGAUGGGCGUCGACCGGCGCACGGGUGAGUAACGCGUAUCCAACCUGCCCACCACUUGGGGAUAACCUUGCGAAAGUAAGACUAAUACCCAAUGAUAUCUCUAGAAGACAUCUGAAAGGGAUUAAAGAUUUAUCGGUGAUGGAUGGGGAUGCGUCUGAUUAGCUUGUUGGCGGGGUAACGGCCCACCAAGGCGACGAUCAGUAGGGGUUCUGAGAGGAAGGUCCCCCACAUUGGAACUGAGACACGGUCCAAACUCCUACGGGAGGCAGCAGUGAGGAAUAUUGGUCAAUGGGCGAGAGCCUGAACCAGCCAAGUAGCGUGCAGGAUGACGGCCCUAUGGGUUGUAAACUGCUUUUAUAAGGGAAUAAAGUGAGCCACGUGUGGCUUUUUGCAUGUACCUUAUGAAUAAGGACCGGCUAAUUCCGUGCCAGCAGCCGCGGUAAUACGGAAGGUCCGGGCGUUAUCCGGAUUUAUUGGGUUUAAAGGGAGCGUAGGCCGUCUGUUAAGCGUGUUGUGAAAUGUCGGGGCUCAACCUGGGCAUUGCAGCGCGAACUGGGAGACUUGAGUGCGCAGGAAGUAGGCGGAAUUCGUCGUGUAGCGGUGAAAUGCUUAGAUAUGACGAAGAACUCCGAUUGCGAAGGCAGCCUGCUGGAGCGCAACUGACGCUGAAGCUCGAAAGCGUGGGUAUCGAACAGGAUUAGAUACCCUGGUAGUCCACGCGGUAAACGAUGGAUGCUCGCUGUUUGCGUCUGACGUAAGCGGCCAAGCGAAAGCGUUAAGCAUCCCACCUGGGGAGUACGCCGGCAACGGUGAAACUCAAAGGAAUUGACGGGGGCCCGCACAAGCGGAG
rnacentral:rRNA from 1 species